UGAGUAGGCGGCAAGAUAAGUCACAUGUGAAAUUCCAUGGCUCAACCGUGGAACUGCAUGAGAAACUGUCUAGCUAGAGUGCAGGAGAGGUAAGCGGAAUUCCUAGUGUAGCGGUGAAAUGCGUAGAUAUUAGGAAGAACACCAGUGGCGAAGGCGGCUUACUGGACUGAAACUGACGCUGAGUCACGAAAGCGUGGGGAGCAAACAGGAUUAGAUACCCUGGUAGUCCACGCUGUAAACGAUGAGUGCUAGGUGUCGGGGCGAGAGCUUCGGUGCCGGAGUAAACACAAUAAGCACUCCACCUGGGGAUACGUACGCAAGUAUGAA
rnacentral:rRNA from 1 species